AUUUUUUUCUUCCAUUUGGGCUCCGACCUCCAUCUGUUUAUGGAAAUAUUUAGAUUCCUCUGGUGUAUUUUUAGCAGAUCGUUUUGCUUUUGCUGCUGCAAUAUCAUUGCAUCAUCAUUCUCCUGUUGCUCAGCUCCAAUUCCUCUCUCUCUUUUCUUUUUUCUUUUUCUCUUCAGCUUCAAUCAUUCCAGCAUACAAAAAAAAAAAUUUUUUUUAAUGGUAUGCUGUGUUUACACUCUGAAUGCUCACACAAAAAGUGUCAGCAAAGUGCACACAGAUAUAUGUACACAUUCUGGGUUGUCAUGAGUGUAGUGGUAGGCUUUUUUCCAUCCGUGAAUUAUCCUGCCUGAGACAAGAUGAGUUGGCUGCCCAGGAGCUGAGAUCUCAGUCUUAGAGGUACCGCCUCUAAACAGAUGAAGUCUGAAGGUGGCCUUAAAAUCCAUGUUGGUCUCUGCAGACAAACAACCCAGCAGUGGCAAAUGUGAUUUACAAAGAUGGUGACAAAACCUCAAACCCUGCUCCAGGAUUUCAAGAUAUAGCAACUGGACCCAACAAGAGUGCAAG
ensembl:lncRNA